UGAACAGGACUCUCGAGGGAGCGAAGCCCGCCAUCAAAAGAGAAAAAAAAAAGAAAAAAAGAAAAAAAAAACCAUUGCAAUCUCCGCCCCCAUUUCUCGAUGUCAUCGAAGCCAAAAUGUCGACCGACUCCAAAUAACUACCCCAUUCUCAAUCUCCACGAUCUCAAACCCUAACCCUAGCUCUCUCCCCCAAAUCCAAGCCCUAGCCCUAACCCUAAUCCAUGGCCUCCCUCCUCAACACCUCCUUCCUCCCCUCCACUCCCAAGCUCCCCGCCGCCGUCCCCGGCGCCAAGCGGGCCCCGACCAGAAUCCACGCCAAGAUCCGCGCAGGGAAAAAGCCUCAUUUUGUGGCGAUCCGAAGAGGAAUCAGGGAAAAGCAAAUCGAAGGAAAGUAAUCGGCGACGAUGAUUAGCGUCCUCGCUCAGGAGCGUAUUCAAAGGCGCAACAUUGGGAAGCGUGCUGGUUGGAGGAAUUGUUUUCAACCAGCGCAGGGGGAUUCACAGCACUAUCUCCGAACAAAAACCCGUUCACAUCUCUCGAUACCAGAUAUCGCCACAAAAUGAGGCCUUAUCGGACUCGUCGACGAUGACCAAGGGGAAGAUCGUUUCUUGGAUCAAAUCCGAGGGCGAUAAGCUCAG